rnacentral:ncRNA from 2 species
AAAAACUAUAGAGGAGCUUUUAACAAUAGUAAACAAUUUAGCGGGCACGCUUUGAGAUUAUUGAAAGGGUAUAAAAGCCGAAAUUAAAAUAAAGGCAUUUAUUUUAAUUGAUAAGAAAACAUAAAAGUUUCUUAUUCUCUGGACUAAGUCCAUUGGUGCUAUAGUAUUA